UGAGGAAUAUUGGGCAAUGCCCGCAAGGGUGACCCAGCAACGCCGCGUGGAGGAUGAAUGUCGUAAGAUUGUAAACUCCUGUUAGAGGGGAAGAAUAGUACCGGUUGGACCGGUAUAUGACUGUACCCUCAGAGAAAGCCCCGGCUAACUACGUGCCAGCAGCCGCGGUAAUACGUAGGGGGCAAGCGUUGUCCGGAUUUACUGGGUGUAAAGGGUGCUCAGGCGGAUUUGUAAGUCAGAGGUGAAAUCUUACAGCUUAACUGUGAAACUGCCUUUGAUACUGCAAGCCUAGAGUAUGGAAGAGAGUGAUGGAAUAUCUGGUGUAGCAGUGAAAUGCGUAGAUAUCAGAUAGAACACCAAUGGCGAAGGCAGUCACUUGGUCCAUUACUGACGCUAAAGCACGAAAGCGUGGGUAGCAAAC
rnacentral:rRNA from 1 species